AGGACGAACGCUGGCGGCGUGCUUAACACAUGCAAGUCGAGCGGUAAGGCCUUUCGGGGUACACGAGCGGCGAACGGGUGAGUAACACGUGGGUGAUCUGCCCUGCACUCUGGGAUAAGCCUGGGAAACUGGGUCUAAUACCGGAUAUGACCUGCUCUCGCAUGGGGGUGGGUGGAAAGAUUUAUCGGUGCAGGAUGGGCCCGCGGCCUAUCAGCUUGUUGGUGGGGUAAUGGCCUACCAAGGCGACGACGGGUAGCCGACCUGAGAGGGUGACCGGCCACACUGGGACUGAGACACGGCCCAGACUCCUACGGGAGGCAGCAGUGGGGAAUAUUGCACAAUGGGCGAAAGCCUGAUGCAGCGACGCCGCGUGAGGGAUGGAAGGCCUUCGGGUUGUAAACCUCUUUACAGCAGGACGAAGCGCAAGUGACGUACUGCAGAAGAAGCACCGGCUAACUACGUGCCAGCAAGCCGC
rnacentral:rRNA from 1 species